rnacentral:rRNA from 1 species
AGAGUUUGAUCCUGGCUCAGGACGAACGCUGGCGGCGUGCUUAACACAUGCAAGUCGAACGGAAAGGCCCUUCGGGGUACUCGAGUGGCGAACGGGUGAGUAACACGUGGGUGAUCUGCCCUGCACUUUGGGAUAAGCCUGGGAAACUGGGUCUAAUACCGAAUAGGACCACGCGCUUCAUGGUGUGUGGUGGAAAGCUUUUGCGGUGUGGGAUGGGCCCGCGGCCUAUCAGCUUGUUGGUGGGGUAAUGGCCUACCAAGGCGACGACGGGUAGCCGGCCUGAGAGGGUGACCGGCCACACUGGGACUGAGAUACGGCCCAGACUCCUACGGGAGGCAGCAGUGGGGAAUAUUGCACAAUGGGCGCAAGCCUGAUGCAGCGACGCCGCGUGAGGGAUGACGGCCUUCGGGUUGUAAACCUCUUUCAAUAGGGACGAAGCGCAAGUGACGGUACCUAUAGAAGAAGCACCGGCCAACUACGUGCCAGCAGCCGCGGUAAUACGUAGGGUGCGAGCGUUGUCCGGAAUUACUGGGCGUAAAGAGCUCGUAGGUGGUUUGUCGCGUUGUUCGUGAAAACUCACAGCUUAACUGUGGGCGUGCGGGCGAUACGGGCAGACUAGAGUACUGCAGGGGAGAUUGGAAUUCCUGGUGUAGCGGUGGAAUGCGCAGAUAUCAGGAGGAACACCGGUGGCGAAGGCGGGUCUCUGGGCAGUAACUGACGCUGAGGAGCGAAAGCGUGGGGAGCGAACAGGAUUAGAUACCCUGGUAGUCCAA